rnacentral:rRNA from 1 species
GGGUGAGUAACACGUGAGUAACCUGCCCUUGACUCUGGGAUAAGCGCUGGAAACGGCGUCUAAUACCGGAUACGACCUGCCCCGGCAUCGGGUGCGGGUGGAAAGUUUUUCGGUCAAGGAUGGACUCGCGGCCUAUCAGCUUGUUGGUGAGGUAAUGGCUCACCAAGGCGACGACGGGUAGCCGGCCUGAGAGGGUGACCGGCCACACUGGGACUGAGACACGGCCCAGACUCCUACGGGAGGCAGCAGUGGGGAAUAUUGCACAAUGGGCGAAAGCCUGAUGCAGCAACGCCGCGUGGGGGAUGACGGCCUUCGGGUUGUAAACCUCUUUUAGUAGGGAAGAAGGGCUUCGGCUUGACGGUACCUGCAGAAAAAGCACCGGCUAANUACGUGCCAGCAGCCGCGGUAAUACGUAGGGUGCAAGCGUUGUCCGGAAUUAUUGGGCGUAAAGAGCUCGUAGGCGGUUUGUCGCGUCUGCUGUGAAAACCCGAGGCUCAACCUCGGGCCUGCAGUGGGUACGGGCAGACUAGAGUGCGGUAGGGGAGAAUGGAAUUCCUGGUGUAGCGGUGGAAUGCGCAGAUAUCAGGAGGAACACCGAUGGCGAAGGCAGUUCUCUGGGCCGUUACUGACGCUGAGGAGCGAAAGCGUGGGGAGCGAACAGGAUUAGAUACCCUGGUAGUCCACGCCGUAAACGUUGGGAACUAGAUGUGGGGACCUUUCCACGGUCUCCGUGUCGCAGCUAACGCAUUAAGUUCCCCGCCUGGGGAGUACGGCCGCAAGGCUAAAACUCAAAGGAAUUGACGGGGGCCCGCACAAGCGGCGGAGCAUGCGGAUUAAUUCGAUGCAACGCGAANAACCUUACCAAGGCUUGACAUAUACCGGAAACGUCCANAAAUGGUCGCCCCGCAAGGUCGGUAUACAGGUGGUGCAUGGUUGUCGUCAGCUCGUGUCGUGAGAUGUUGGGUUAAGUCCCGCAACGAGCGCAACCCUCGUUCUAUGUUGCCAGCACGUUAUGGUGGGAACUCAUAGGAGACUGCCGGGGUCAACUCGGAGGAAGGUGGGGAUGACGUCAAAUCAUCAUGCCCCUUAUGUCUUGGGCUUCACGCAUGCUACAAUGGCCGGUACAAAGGGCUGCGAUACCGUAAGGUGGAGCGAAUCCCAAAAAGCCGGUCUCAGUUCGGAUUGAGGUCUGCAACUCGACCUCAUGAAGUCGGAGUCGCUAGUAAUCGCAGAUCAGCAACGCUGCGGUGAAUACGUUCCCGGGCCUUGU